UGGAGCUGACGUAUCGGGCUUGUAUUCAACCGUUUAGUGUUGGGAUCGGUGGUUUUGGUAUUCCGCAAGGUUGCCUGACUGCCGUUGUCCUAGCAUGAAGCGGUGCAUUUGCAAGCGGAGUGCGCCGAGUGGGUUGAUUCUGCUGCUUGAAGCUUUCGAAGAGGACUCGACCGCAAGGUUGAGAAGCCUGCGAUUGUGGAUGGCGGAUGGGGUCGGCUCGUGUGUGAUGCCUAGCAUCCGACUCGGUGUUCAGUCAGUCACCCAUUUGACCCGUCUUGAAACACGGACCAAGGAGUUUAAGGUGUACGCAAGUCAUUGGGCUUCAAAACCUAAAGGCGUAAUGAAAGUGAGCUGCUUAGCGGCUGUAAUGUGACCCGCGGUUAAUUCGUUGACUACGGUGCAACAUUGCCCCGUGCCUAGAACUUGUUCUGGCGCGGAGGUUGAGCGUACGCUUUGAGACCCGAAAGAUGGUGAACUAUGCCUGAACAGGAUGAAGUCAGAGGAAACUCUGAUGGAAGUCCGAAGCGGUUCUGACGUGCAAAUCGAUCGUCUGAUUUGGGUAUAGGGGCGCAAGACUAAUCGAACCAUCUAGUAGCUGU
rnacentral:rRNA from 1 species